AAUGAACGUUGGCGGCGUGGAUUAGGCAUGCAAGUCGCACGAGAAGCCUUAAAUUGAAGCUUCGGUUGAUUUUUAGGGUGGACAGUGGCGUAAGGGAGAGUAACGCGUGGAUAUCUACCCCGGGAUCUGGGAUAGCUGCGGGAAACUGCAGGUAAUACCGGAUAAUGUCUCCGGACCAAAGGUGUGAUUCCGUCUUGGGAUGAGUCCGCGUCCUAUUAGCUUGUUGGUGGGGUAAUGGCCUACCAAGGCAAUGAUGGGUAGCGGGUGUGAGAGCAUGGCCCGUCUCACUGGGACUGAGACACUGCCCAGACACCUACGGGUGCUGCAGUCGAGAAUCUUCCGCAAUGGACGAAAGUCUGACGGAGCGACGCCGCGUGCGGGAUGAAGGCCCUCGGGU
rnacentral:rRNA from 1 species